AACGAACGCUGGCGGCAGGCUUAACACAUGCAAGUCGAGCGCCCCGCAAGGGGAGCGGCAGACGGGUGAGUAACGCGUGGGAACGUACCCUUUGCUACGGAAUAGCUCCGGGAAACUGGAAUUAAUACCGUAUGUGCCCUACGGGGGAAAGAUUUAUCGGCAAAGGAUCGGCCCGCGUUGGAUUAGCUAGUUGGUCGGGUAAUGGCCUACCAAGGCGACGAUCCAUAGCUGGUCUGAGAGGAUGAUCAGCCACAUUGGGACUGAGACACGGCCCAAACUCCUACGGGAGGCAGCAGUGGGGAAUAUUGGACAAUGGGCGCAAGCCUGAUCCAGCCAUGCCGCGUGAGUGAUGAAGGCCUUAGGGUUGUAAAGCUCUUUCACCGGAGAAGAUAAUGACGGUACCUGAGGAGGAAGCCACGGCUAACUACGUGCCAGCCGCCGCCGUAAGAC
rnacentral:rRNA from 1 species